GAAACAAAGAUAGUAGAAUUCUCAUUAUCUGUUAUCUGAAACUUCCAACAUCGAACAUUUAUAAAUUGCAGUUUCAGUUCACCUGUUUACACUUGUAUUCAAUCAUAAAAUUUAAUCUGAUGUAGGUCAAUUAUGAUUCACUAUACAAUGCUACCCUGAAUCACAUUGACUUGUAUGUAACAUCAGAC